UUUUAAUAGCUUGGCAUCACCGUUGCCUGCAGGCAUGCAUCAAUGCAGCCCCACAACAGCCAAUUCCUAUCUAGUCUUAGAUAAUUCUUCUCUCUUACACCAAUCCCAGAUUCCAAAUGCUUUAUCCCAGGGUGAUAGACAGGUUUUGUGGGAAGUGGAUGAUCAAAGACAGAGAAUUAAUAAUCAGUCAGAAUCUACCAACAACUUGUUUUCAUUCCCAUUGAUGUAAUUAUGUAAAAACCCAACAUCAUCUGUCCUACUACAACCACCUGAUGGUCUUGGUCAAACAAAAAGGAGCAACGGAUUUAAUUAAAGGCUGUUUAUUCUUGUCUGCGGUAUCAAAAACUCGAAAUCUUGGAGGCAGUAAUCAUUGGAACCGACCAAAUAUCAGCAAAUCUUUCACUUUUGAGAUCCUUUGUUUCCAACAUAAUUUCUGCACCCAUAAUCAAGGUUGCGGUGGUUAGAAUUUUAGGUAGUGAUAGUGGUCAAGAAUUUGUAGUAUAGCAGGAAUAGUAAUUGUAUGUGGUAAUUAACAAUCAGUUGGUUGUUAAUUAGUUAGUGCACUUAUUAUGUUUCGAAUA